rnacentral:rRNA from 1 species
GAUGAACGCUGGCGGCGUGCCUAAUACAUGCAAGUCGAGCGAACGGACGAGAAGCUUGCUUUUCUGAUGUUAGCGGCGGACGGGUGAGUAACACGUGGAUAACCUACCUAUAAGACUGGGAUAACUUCGGGAAACCGGAGCUAAUACCGGAUAAUAUUUUGAACCGCAUGGUUCAAAAGUGAAAGACGGUCUUGCUGUUACUUAUAGAUGGAUCCGCGCUGCAUUAGCUAGUUGGUAAUGUAACGGCUUACCAAGGCAACGAUGCAUAGCCGACCUGAGAGGGUGAUCGGCCACACUGGAACUGAGACACGGUCCAGACUCCUACGGGAGGCAGCAGUAGGGAAUCUUCCGCCAUGGGCGAAAGCCUGACGGAGCAACGCCGCGUGAGUGAUGAAGGUCUUCGGAUCGUAAAACUCUGUUAUUAGGGAAGAACAUAUGUGUAAGUAACUGUGCACAUCUUGACGGUACCUAAUCAGAAAGCCACGGCUAACUACGUG